AUGCCAUGGUUAGGGCAAUCGGCGCAGAGCAUCUUGAAUCUAUCCCAAGCUUGGUAAAAACCUUCAUCCUUUUGUUGUUGAAAAGCGGCUAUCCUUUGUCUUCCUUU
rfam:Corchorus capsularis cultivar CVL-1 contig06576, whole genome shotgun sequence.